CUCCAAUUAAAUUAAACCUUUUCUGAUUACUGAAGAAAAGUUGCGGUUUAAAAUCGGUUACAGGCUUACAGCUGGCAGUCGUCAGAGCAACACGUUCACAAAAUGUCGAAGCUUUCUCUCUCAUCCUCCUCUCCUCCUCCGUUGACGUCGUCUUCUUCCACCUCGCAGCAGCGGCGGAGUUGCUUUCGUCGUUCUUUCAGAGUCGGCGCGUGUGUUUCACUUUCUUCGGUUUCCGCGUCGUGUUCGAAGCAGCCGAAAGUUGUUGUCACCAGAGAACGCGGCAAGAACGGCAAGCUCAUGAAUUCUCUGGCCAGACAUGGAAUUGAUUGUCUUGAGCUUCCUCUCAUUCAGCACAUGCAUUUACCUGAUCUAGGCAGGCUCACUUCUGUAUUAAGUGACACCACGUUUGACUGGAUUAUCAUUACUUCACCAGAGGCGGGAAAGGUUUUUCUUGAUGCUUGGAAAGCUGCUGGGACCCCAUCUGUCCGAAUAGGUGUCGUUGGAUCUGGUACAGCUAGCAUAUUCGAUGAAGCUGUUCAGUCUUCAAAGCAGUAUCUUGAUGUGGCAUUUACACCAUCAAAGGCAACUGGUAAGGUUUUAGCUUCAGAGCUUCCAAAGAAUGGGAAUGAUAAGUGCACUGUUCUCUAUCCUGCUUCAGCAAAAGCGGGCGCUGACAUUGAGGAAGGACUUUCUGAGCGGGGAUUCGAGGUUACUCGGUUGAACACAUACACAACGGCACCAGUCAAUCAGGUUGAUCAAUAUCUUCUUGAGCUAGCACUCUCUGCUCCUGUUGUUGCUGUAGCAUCUCCCUCUGCCAUCCGGGUAUGGACUAAUCUUAUUCCAGCAUCGAGUCAGUGGGACAAUGCUGUUGCAUGUAUUGGGGAGACUACAGCUUCUGCAGCUAAAAGACUUGGGUUGAGAAAUAUAUACUAUCCAACAAGUCCUGGUCUCGAAGGGUGGGUGAGUAGCAUUCUGGAAGCAUUAAGUGUACAUGAGCAAGUACAGAAGGUCUAAAGGCCGUGUUAUGUGGUUUCUGAUGGUGGGCUGAGAGAGCUCUGGUUCCACUCUACGGUCAUCUUUGCAAUGGCAAAGCUGAUUAAAAGCUUUCUAUACUUGCAGCUUCAACGUGGCGCUGUAUUUUGAAAUCUUUGAAGCAUAUAUGCAUAGAAGUGCGGAGGGAGGUGUAGGAUCUAAUUGACACAGCAUAUGAGGAGACGGUGGGGAGACGUAAAGUUUUGUUGUGCGGAGGUAUUUACCCACUUGUCUAGCCAACUUUUCUUGUGAGAAUUGACUAUAAAGCGCCCCUCUCGGUUCAUACUCCAACCUAAAUUUCCUCAAAAGAGAAACAUCAAACCUUGAGCUAGAUAUAUUUAUCUAAAUUUUAGCCAUUCCUCGUAAUGCACAAUGUGUUGAUUUUUGUAAUCGUUUACUUCAAGUACUCAAAUCUUGUGCUCCAUUUGUAAAUAUCUGCAUGGAUUACUCUGGCAGUUUGUAAUAUUUCAGUGUAUUAUUUAAGGAAUCAACUGAAAAGUACGGUAACAUAACAGCUCUAUGGAGGGCUCUCUCAUCCAAACAUCUGCAGAGAUUACCAUCUUAUGCUGUAGAUGCGGAGUUCUUUGCGGUUCAAUCCUAGAGGUGUGUGAGACUCUUGUUCCUGUGAAUACAGCCUAUAUAUCUCAGUGAUUGCUUUGUAGGUUGGCGUUCCUAGUACGUAGUUUUUAUUCAGUCUGCUUUUUAUGGUUUUGCGUGACAUGAUUUUUUCCAUGAGUAUAUUAAGUUUCCUCACGCCAGUAUUUAGAUGGUAAUUGAGGAAAGUAUUGCGGGACUAGAAGUAAACCAACCAAAAUAUCCACUUGCUGUUAUAAAAUAAUUUUUUUGGUUCCA